rnacentral:tRNA from 1 species
GGAGAGGUGGCAGAGUGGCCGAUUGCGCCGGUCUUGAAAACCGGAGAGGUGAGAGCCUCCGCGGGUUCGAAUCCCGCCCUCUCCG